UACGUAGGGUGCAGGCGUUAAUCGGAAUUACUGGGCGUAAAGCGUGCGCAGGCGGCUUCUUAAGUCAGAUGUGAAAGCCCCGGGCUUAACCUGGGAACUGCGUUUGAAACUGGGAGACUUGAGUGUGGCAGAGGGGGGUGGAAUUCCACGUAUAGCAGUGAAAUGCGUAGAUAUGUGGAGGAACACCGAUGGCGAAGGCAGCCCCCUGGGUUAACACUGACGCUCAUGCACGAAAGCGUGGGGAGCAAACAGG
rnacentral:rRNA from 1 species